AGGUGAGUGUGCUAACACAUUUGGUGUGUGCAAAAGCACCAGCCAUUCCAACAUUCUGUUAGGUUCACACAGGUCUUUGACUCUGAAACUUCCCCCAAAAUGUGACUCCACCAGCUUCCCUCAGUUUAGAUGGAGAGGUGCCUACCCUCUGACCAGCAAAUGUCCUCCGAGGAAACGGAGAAAUGGGUCUUGAGAGGCUUUGGAAGGGGGGACAAAAUCUCUAGGGAGAGACAAACACUAGGCUGACUGGCAAGAAGUUCAUAAGGCUGCUUCUGAUCGGUGUAAGAGACUCUCUAGGGACCAUCCCCUAGGCCAGGGGACAGACCAGCAGCACCUGAAGAUCCCAGCUGUCAAAAUCUAGGUCUUGUCCCUCCAAUCCUCACCUUCCCUGCCAGGCACCCCAGGGGUGGCUGAGCACCUUGCCUUGGUGCCCAACCGCCAAGGUAGCUUAAAAAAAAAAAAGAAAGAGAAGAAAAGAAAAAAGAAAAGAACCGCCAUCCUCCCCUCCACUCCUCCGGCUAAUCCCUUUCACCUCAUCCCCAGGGGGUCUGUCUAUGUCUAGGUUCCCUUGGAGACGGGAGGUUAAGAGGGGUGCAAGAAAUGUUCCUAGGAAAGGAGGGGACCAAGGUACCAAACUCUGAGAUUAAAUGCAAG
rnacentral:lncRNA from 10 species